AGAAAGUCAUUUUCUCUUCUCCUUUCUCUUUCUUCUUCUCCGUUCUUCUUCUCUGUUCUUCCUGUACGAGUCGAGUAAUGGAAUUGAGAUCGGGUUAGAUAGAUAUUGACUGAUGAAAUUAUUCAGAUGGUGAAGGAGGUGUUGUCGAUGUAAUUUAGGGAGGAAGAGAUUAAAGAUUUUUAGGAUUUCUUUUGCGGUGAUUAAACAGAGAAAAGCUGAAUUAGGGUUUACAAGUCUGAGUAAUGUUUUGAGGAUUUAUAAGAUGAAAUAGAAUUAUUGUUAGAUGAAGAAACAUGGGUAAAGGUUUAAUUGAAGUUCUAAAGAUGAUUCCAUUGCAGAUCGAAGAAUUAUGAUUUCUUAUAGAACUGAUAUAAAGUUGAUUUAAUGAUGUAUGAGAAGAAUUGGGGGCUGGGUUUUGUUGAUUGAGGAACACAAUCAAGUUAAUUAGAUGUGAUGGAAUUGUUUUGAGGAAGAAUUGAAGAAUUAAGGAUUUCAAUUUAAGGUGAUUGCAUGUGAAUAUUAGGGUUCCUGAGUUCAGAAUUGCUUUUUACUGUCAAUAUAUCUAUUUUAAGGUGAACUUACUUUGGACUUGAUGUGGAGUAUGCAAAGUGUACAAGGGUUUUCUUGGUUCUUCAUGAAUCUUUGUUACUCACUUCGUGUAAGGUCAAAUGGCACUAGCUAGUUGUACAAGGAAAUUGGGAGUUGUGUCUGUGUAUAUACUGGUUCUCGACAACUUUAAAAAUAUUGUUUCCCGAGAUUAUAUAGCUCUGUGACUAUUUGGUCGAUGGCCAAUAUGACGCCGGUAGAUGAGAACAUCCUACCCAAUUUAUUUUAUACUACCGUGUUAGUAUGGUACCCAAUUUGUUUUAUAUGAUCAUCGUUAGUAUGAUACUCAAUUUAUUUUAUAUGAUCAUCUGAAACAUGUUAUCUAUUUAUUUUGUCGUGCCAUUUGUUGUUUGGACAAUAGUUAUAGUUUGGACUAGGUUGGAUUGGGAACUGUUAUUUGUUACUGAAGUGGUGGUGGUGUGGACAGUAGAAGGUGUGAAAUUGCAGGCUAAGGGGAUGGUUUGGACAAAAGUAGGUUGUAGUUGUAUCUGCUCAGCUGCGAAUCUGUUGAAGUCUCUGCAAUGAAUCUGCAGAGAUGAGUAUUCAUUUGUCACUUACUCGCUGAGUUUUUCAUUGGAGCAGGACAUGAAGAAGAUGAUAGAGUUGCUGUUGGAAAUUGAAGUUAGGGUUCAUGGAGGAAAUAGAGGAAUUUGAAGGUUAUUGGUCCUGAUUGUAUGGAAAUACAGGGGAACUAGUAUUGAUGUGAGUUACAUGAAGAAGAAUGUUGUGUAGUGGUGCAGAUGAAUGUGAAAUGGAGAUAUGUUUGAAGUUUUAGUUUUGAGUAAUGGUGGUGUUGUAUGGAUGUUGGCUACAUGGAGCUGUGUUGGUUGCAGUUGCAAUUGGGUUGUGCUCUGAGUAUGCAAUUACAAAUGACAUGAAGUUGGGAUUGUUAUGAUUGAAUUGGAAUCAAUCAUUUGAAUAGCAUUUAAACUCUUGAACUGUCCCUGAUACUCUUCAAGAACAAAAUCUAGUUUAGACUCUAAUGAAGAUAGAUAUUGUGUUAAUGUUAAUGAGAAGAAUAAUGGGUUUUUGAAGAGAAGAGAAGCUUUGGUUUCUGAGGUUUCUUUAGUUUCUUCAUCAAUUCUUAUGGGGAGUUUUCCAAGUGAUGGAUUAGCUGUUUUAAAACAAGGACUUUUAGCUGGAAGAGUUCCUGGUUUAUCCGAUCCUGACGAACAAGGUGCCACUUAAUAUGAAAAGAAAUUGCUCAGACAGGUUAAGGACAUAUAGAAGGCCAGAUGCGAAAUCAGGAGGGUGUGGUGUAGGAUGAAGUCCAAUCAUUCCAUACACAUUUUCGGUUCCUCAAGGUUGGGAAGAGGUAACCAAUUUAGUAACAUUCAAUUUCAAUUAAAAACAAUUUGGAUUCUACCAAAUGAAGUUUUCAGUCUCAGCUGGGUCAACCUAGUACAUUUACAGACUUGUGGUUCCUAAUGAUUUUGUUUCGGUUGACACCUGGAGAGGUGUAACUCGAACUACUGCAAUGAAGUUUUGUUCGAUUAACUGGCAGCCUAGCUAUGAUGCAUUCUUGGGCUAUUCUGGCGCUGCAGUAGCCUAGUUUGAUGAAAAUGAUAUUAAAAGCUGUGAACAUUGAGGAAAUUUGUCUUAAAUAUUCCAAAAUUUAUUUGGGUUCCUUAUUGGAAGGUUUGGCAAUGUAAGUUCCAGUAUCAAUUGCAGAUCUUGGGGGGACAUGAAUCGAUUUGAGAUUUGCAAGUUCUCAGGCAGGGCGCUUAUUUGUCAUUGUUGCACCAGUUCUUAGUUUUUUGAAUAACAUUGUAAAUGGAUUUGACAGUGUUGGUAUUAUUUACGUGGUCUAUCAAUCAUUUUUUAGGUA